AGAGUUUGAUCCUGGCUCAGGAUGAACGCUAGCGGCAGGCCUAAUACAUGCAAGUCGAGGGGCAGCAUAGUAGCAAUACUGAUGGCGACCGGCGCACGGGUGCGUAACGCGUAUGCAACCUACCUUUUACUGGGGGAUAGCCCGGAGAAAUUCGGAUUAACACCGCGUAAUAAGUUUGAGUGGCAUCACUUGGAUUUUAAAUAUUUAUAGGUAAGAGAUGGGCAUGCGUCCAGUUAGCUAGUUGGUGAGGUAAUGGCUCACCAAGGCGAUGAUUGGUAGGGGUUCUGAGAGGAAGGUCCCCCACACUGGUACUGAGAUGCGGACCAGACUCCUACGGGAGGCAGCAGUAGGGAAUAUUGGGCAAUGGGCGAGAGCCUGACCCAGCCAUGCCGCGUGCAGGAAGAAGGCCUUCUGGGUUGUAAACUGCUUUUGAUCGGGAACAAAUAGUCCAUGCGUGGAAAGUUGAGUGUACCGAUAGAAUAAGCACCGGCUAACUCCGUGCCAGCAGCCGCGGUAAUACGGAGGGUGCAAGCGUUGUCCGGAUUUAUUGGGUUUAAAGGGUGCGUAGGCGGCCCUGUAAGUCAGUGGUGAAAUACUGCAGCUUAACUGUAGCAUUGCCAUUGAUACUGUAGGGCUUGAGUACAGAUGAGGUAGGCGGAAUUGAUGGUGUAGCGGUGAAAUGCAUAGAUACCAUCAAGAACACCGAUUGCGAAGGCAGCUUACUAAGCUGUAACUGACGCUGAGGCACGAAAGCGUGGGGAUCGAACAGGAUUAGAUACCCUAGUAGUCC
rnacentral:rRNA from 1 species